rnacentral:rRNA from 1 species
ACGGAAGGCAGCAGUGGGGGAUAUUGCACAAUGGGGGAAACCCUGAUGCAGCGACGCCGCGUGAGUGAAGAAGUAUUUCGGUAUGUAAAGCUCUAUCAGCAGGAAAGAUAAUGACGGUACCUGACUAAGAAGCACCGGCUAAAUACGUGCCAGCAGCCGCGGUAAUACGUAUGGUGCAAGCGUUAUCCGGAUUUACUGGGUGUAAAGGGAGCGCAGACGGCAUGGCAAGCCAGAUGUGAAAUGCGGGGGCUCAACUCCUGAACUGCAUCUGGAACUGUCAAGCUAGAGUAUCGGAGAGGUAAGUGGAAUUCCUAGUGUAGCGGUGAAAUGCGUAGAUAUUAGGAAGAACACCAGUGGCGAAGGCGAUCUACUGGACAGUAACUGACGCUGAGGCGCGAAAGCGUGGGGAGCAAACAGGAUUAGAUACCCUGGUA